rnacentral:rRNA from 1 species
CUGCAGAGAUGUGGAAGUGACUCGAAAGAGAACUUGAACACAGGUGCUGCAUGGCCGUCGUCAGCUCGUGUCGUGAGAUGUUGGGUUAAGUCCCGCAACGAGCGCAACCCUUGUCAUUAGUUGCUACGAAAGGGCACUCUAAUGAGACUGCCGGUGACAAACCGGAGGAAGGUGGGGAUGACGUCAGGUCCUCAUGGCCCUUAUGGGUAGGGCUACACACGUCAUACAAUGGCCGGGACAGAGGGCUGCCAACCCGCAGGGGGAGCCAAUCCCAGAAACCCGGUCGUAGUCCGGAUCGCAGUCUGCAACUCGACUGCGUGAAGUCGGAAUCGCUAGUAAUCGCGGAUCAGCUUGCCGCGGUGAAUACGUUCCCGGGUCUUGUACACACCGCCCGUCACACCAUGGGAGCGGGUUCUGCCAGAAGUAGUUAGCCUAACCGCAAGGAGGGCGAUUACCACGGCAGGGUUCGUGACUGGGGUGAAGUCGUAACAAGGUAAGCGUAGAUGA